GGACUACCGGGGUAUCUAAUCCCGUUUGCUCCCCUAGCUUUCGCGCCUCAGCGUCAGUAGAGAUCCAGCAGGUCGCUUUCGCCACCGGCGUUCCUUCCGAUAUCUACGCAUUUCACCGCUCCACCGGAAGUUCCACCUGCCCCUACCUCCCUCUAGCCCACCAGUAUCAGGGGCACUUUUCCGGUUGAGCCGAAAGAUUUCACCCCUGACUUGAUGAGCCGCCUACGCGCCCUUUAAGCCCAGUGAAUCCGAACAACGUUUGCACGGUUCGUCUUACCGCGGCUGCUGGCAC
rnacentral:rRNA from 1 species